rnacentral:rRNA from 1 species
AUACGGAGGGUGCAAGCGUUACUCGGAAUUACUGGGCGUAAAGCGCGCGUAGGCGGUCUAUUAAGUCAGAUGUGAAAUCCCAGGGCUCAACCUUGGAACUGCAUCUGAUACUGGUAGACUAGAGUUUUGGAGAGGGAAGUAGAAUUUCAGGUGUAGCGGUGAAAUGCAUAGAGAUCUGAAGGAAUACCAGUGGCGAAGGCGACUUCCUGGCCAAAAACUGACGCUGAGGUGCGAAAGCGUGGGUAGCAAACGGGAUUAGAAACCCCGGUAGUCC